rnacentral:sRNA from 1 species
GCUCGGAGGCCGCACCGGGCACGUUUGUGGAAGAAUUCACUACUGAAUUGAAGUCCUUGAUCAAGUAAUUGAAGUUCAGGCAUAAAGUAUCAAAGCGGGCGAGCAGUCUCCCGCUCGGGCCCUCUCUCGCCCUCUCUUCCGCGCGCCAGCUCUCGCAGAGGUGGCGGGGUCCGCGGGCCGCAGGCCGGGCCCGGGCUUUGAUUGCAGCGGGAAGUCCUCCGAGUCAUGAAUGUUUCAGCGCGGCGCGCGAGGGCCGGUGCAUAAACUUCUCCCGAGUUCCAUCUCAGUAAAAGGGAAGCAGGAAGACCAAGAAGGUACGAAGAUGGCACAUUUUCACAUAGCUGAUUUUCAACCAAAUGAAAAAAAUCAAGUGCAUUUCAGAAGCUUUUGGAAGAGCAUCUUAAUUCCUCUCAGUCAGGAAAUGUUUUCCCUGCCUUCUGCUUUGCUUGCGCCAAACAUUUCCAAACACUUGUUCUGCCAUCUACAUGGGAGGUGAUGAAACUCAGUGGUAACUCAUGAUUUAUGACAUUGAAAAUAAAGAGGAACAUU